GAUGAACGCUAGCUACAGGCUUAACACAUGCAAGUCGAGGGGAAACGAUAGAGAAAGCUUGCUUUUUCUAGGCGUCGACCGGCGCACGGGUGAGUAACGCGUAUCCAACCUGCCCAUCACUUGGGGAUAACCUUGCGAAAGUAAGACUAAUACCCAAUGAUAUCUCUAGAAGACAUCUGAAAGAGAUUAAAGAUUUAUCGGUGAUGGAUGGGGAUGCGUCUGAUUAGCUUGUUGGCGGGGUAACGGCCCACCAAGGCGACGAUCAGUAGGGGUUCUGAGAGGAAGGUCCCCCACAUUGGAACUGAGACACGGUCCAAACUCCUACGGGAGGCAGCAGUGAGGAAUAUUGGUCAAUGGACGAGAGUCUGAACCAGCCAAGUAGCGUGCAGGAUGGCGGCCCUAUGGGUUGUAAACUGCUUUUAUAAGGGAAUAAAGUGAGUCUCGUGAGGCUUUUUGCAUGUACCUUAUGAAUAAGGACCGCUAAUUCCGUGCCAGCAGCCG
rnacentral:rRNA from 1 species